UAAGGGUGCCUGUGCAACCUUAAUUUGGUCCCCUUGUGCAUGUGUGUUAUGAGAGAGUCUUUAAUUACAUGCUCACAGACAAAUUUUUUUCACAGGAUCCCUAUCUUAUUCAUUGCACAGGAUGGACAGUGCCUAUGUAAUUAGAAGUUAUUCCGUGUUUUGUUUUCUCCUUAUUGUUCAAUGUGUGGGCCCAUGCCUUAUUUACUGCACUCUAUUCAAACCCUGUUCUGAAGACAGAAUUACUAAUUUUCUCAUGGGCUUUUCUAUGGUGCUCCUCUUCAGUAGACAGAGUGAUUUACAAACAUUAAUUAAUUAAUCUUCAUGACACCGCUGUGAGGUGAGUGGGGGGUAUUAUUCCCAUUUUACAGAUAGGGAACCAAGUUACAGAUAGAUGAAGGUAAAAAGUUUUCACUAAUUUUUGUUGGCCAACUUGAGACACCUAGAACCUGACUUUUUCAGAGUACUUAGCAUUAUGUAGCACUUUCUGUGUUCAAAGCACAGCUUUCACUGAUGUCCGUUGCAGUUGUGAGUACUCAGAACGUCUGCAGAUCAGACCCUAGGGUAUCCUGUUAGCACCCAGAAAAUUAGGAACACACAGUGACCACCUGUGAAAAAGUGUGGUUUAUAUGACUUGAAUAGCAUCACAGAGGAACUCUGCCCCAGAUUUGUAAAGGGAUUUAGGUGCCUAAACAGGCAGAUAGGUGUCCAAAUUUACCACGUAGGCACCCCUGACAUUUAAAAAGUCAUAGCUCAGGUACAGCUUAACCUUUCUAGGCACCUAACUUUCCUCUGGUCAGCAUUUUCAAAGCAACCUAAGCAUUCCUGCCACCCCACUGCUAACGAGCUGUGCAGAGCCCUACUUUAAACUGGAGGCCCCAAAGCAGGAUUCUCAAAUGAGGCAAGGGAAUGUCUGUCUCACCAAUGGGCCCCGAUCCCAUAGACAUGCCCUAAGGGAGGUGCCUAGCUCUGGCUCAUCAGCCAGGUGUACCAGAUAGAUACCUAAGCCCCUUUCCUCCUGUAGGCCUAGUUUGACAUGAGUAAUUGGACAUGGGUGAGGCCUUAUAUUUUGGGAGUCAGGAUUAGGGAGGUAAAUGGAUCAGCAGGUGGGAAACAGAAGUCUGUACUAGCUAAAAUAAGAGAGAACAUCCAGGGAACUAUUUACAAUGGACAAGAUAACUGGAUAAAAUAAGCCUGGAAUGCAAGAUGAGGCAAAGAGUAAGUCGUGGAUGGACAGAGUAUGCUGUACACAGGUAUAUCUUUUUAUGAAGAAUAUGAUCAGCAACUUCUCCAUCACUGAAGAAGGUGGCUGGCUAGUGCAGUGACUCAAGCCUUGGCUACUGUGAGAAGAGGCAGAGGCAAACCAAUACAAUAGAGAUCACCUUAAACCUUUUAAAGGAAAAACCCCAAAAUUUGACAGGAACAAUAAUAUGAAGUAAGAUCAAAUACUUGCUUAGGAAAAUAAUAAACUGUCAAU